CCGGCAAUAUCGUGUUGAAACACCGGUUCUCAUACGAUCACCGAUGUUAAGCAACGUUGAAACUGGUCAGUACCUAGAUGGGUAACCGCUCGGGAAUAGCCGGUCCUGUA